GUUAACAAUUCUUGCCUUAGCUACUUCUUGGACUGCUGUGAAGAUUAAAUACAAUAAUACGUCUGAAGUUCUGCAUAAGCUGCAAAGCACUAUACAAAUGAAGCUUACCAUUAUUGAUUUGUACAUUAAUUGUUAGUCCUCAAACAUGAGUUAUUAAUGCUUUAAUGGUGAAACUCUUACAAAAUGCUAUUAUAAAGUAAAUAGAGUUGAGACCACAAUUUCAGAUCAACAAAAUGUGGCCAAGAGACUGGUGAGUCUAAUUGAACAUUGCGUCUUAUUGACUUUGUGGUUUUUUUUCUACUUUCCAGCUCAGAAUGCAGAGAAGCUAAAAGGUGUGGACAUUAGAAAACAUCUGUGUAAAUCCCAUUCACCAACUUGAUGACUUUCUUGAUGCUCAAAAGGCUUUUUCCCCACUGUAUCUGGCUUCUACUGACAGAAGGCAAUGGUUGGAGCUUGGAAGGAAGGGUAACCUUUCCAUAGUUGUAGCAUUUUAUCCUUGGCUCCAGCUCACUCAGGACUGCCUUGUUCUGCUUCCAGCUUCUGCAAGAUGCUCCUAGCCUCUAGGCCCCAGUAACAGCAUGUCCUCCCUUGGCUCUGCUGCUAAUCUUUGGGUUGCAUGACCAAUUCCUGUUUAGCUUUUCAGCUCAUCUAUCACCUAUGUAAGCAAUUCCUUCUAUUAGAUUUCCUUUGCUCUAAACACAUAAGUGUUUUCU
rnacentral:lncRNA from 1 species